UACGGAGGGGACUAGCGUUGUUCGGAAUUACUGGGCGUAAAGCGCACGUAGGCGGAUUUGUAAGUCAGGGGUGAAAUCCCGGGGCUCAACCCCGGAACUGCCUUUGAUACUGCGAAUCUCGAGUUCGGGAGAGGGAUGCGGAAUUCCAGGUGUAGCGGUGAAAUGCGUAGAUAUCUGGAGGAACACCGGUGGCGAAGGCGGCAUCCUGGACCGACACUGACACUGAGGAGCGAAAGCCAGGGGAGCAAACGGG
rnacentral:rRNA from 1 species